rnacentral:pre_miRNA from 1 species
CUGACAGAAGAGAGUGAGCACACACGGUGCUUUCUUAGCAUGCAAGUGCCAUGCUGAGAGCUGUGCGUGCUUACUCUCUAUCUGUCAG